GUGUGAAGACCUUCUGCAACGCCACACAGCCACACAUCACGACCCAGUGCUUUGGCUCUCUGGGAGGAACCGUGGAGGUCCAGCUGCCUACUCACUCCCCACAUGAGCAUUCCUACACACUGAAGAAGAACAAGGUCCCGAUAGUUGAGGGCGAAAUCAAGAUAACAGACCCCCGAUAUUCAUUAAAUGUCAGUACUGGCGUCUUUACCAUAGAGGACCUCAAGAAGACAGACUAUGAUGCAUAUUCACUGGCAGCACAUAAUGGUGUUGAAAUAGCAACUAAACUUUUAUCCAUUCAGGGUGAGUAACUAUAUCAAUAUUACACAUUUGCUACGUGGUGGUCUAAUAAUUGUUAACAGGAUUACAGAUCAGAGGGAAACUGCAGAUUAAACAUAGAGGAUUAAUUAGAUUUAGUGUACUUUAAUUAACAUGAAAACCAUGGUGAAUUUAUGUCAAUCAGAUCUAACAAUAUAAGAAAAAAUUAUGUGUCAACAUUCAUCAUUUAGUUGUACUAUGUCGCCUCUCUGCAAUGGCACAUGUUUUAUUCAUUAUAAAAGUGAGAGUAGAUCUUAUUCUCCUCUGUAAACCUCCAGGUGUGAAGACCUUCUGCAACGCCACACAGCCACACAUCACGACCCAGUGCUUUGGCUCUCUGGGAGGAACCGUGAAGGUCCAGCUGCCUGCUAAGACCUCACAAGAUGAUAUCUACAAACUGAAGAAAGACAAUGUUGUGGUUUUGUCCAAGAGCAGUGAGACAACAAACUUUCGAUAUUCAUUUAAUAUCAGUACUGGAAUAUUUGCUAUAAAGGACAUCGACUGGUCAGACAACGGUACAUACUCUAUGGAACUACACGAUGCAGCUGGAGGGGAAGUAGCAAAUACAAAAUGUAAUUUAACCAUUCAAGGUGUGAAGACCUUCUGCGACGCCACACAGCCACACAUCACGACCCAGUGCUUUGGCUCUCUGGGAGGAACCGUGGAGGUCCAGCUGCCUAAGUCCUCACAAAGUAGUAUCUACAAACUGAAGAAAAAGGAUGUCCCGAUUUUAUCAGACCGCAGUCCGACAACAAACAUUCGAUAUUCUUUUAAUGUCAGUACUGGAAUGUUUGCUAUAAAGGAAUUCAACAGGACAGACAAGGGUACAUACUGGAUGGAAGUUCAUGAUCAGAAUGGAAAGGAAAUAUCAUUCAACCUAUUUCGCUUAUCCAUUGAAGGUGUGAAGACCUUCUGCAACGCCACACAGCCACACAUCCCGACCCAGUGCUUUGGCUCUCUGGGAGGAACCGUGGAGGUCCUGCUGCCUACUCACUCCCCACAUGAGCAUUCCUACACACUGAAGAAGAACAAGGUCCCGAUAGUUGAGGGCGAAAUCAAGAUAACAGACCCCCGAUAUUCAUUUAAUGUCAGUACUGGCGUCUUUACCAUAGAGGGACUCAAGAAGACAGACUAUGAAGUAUAUUCAAUUGCAGCACAUAAUGGAGUUGAAAUAGAAACUAAACUUUUAUCCAUUCAAGGUGUGAAGACCUUCUGCAACGCCACACAGACACACAUCACGACCCAGUGCUUUGGCUCUCUGGGAGGAACCGUGAAGGUCCAGCUGCCUAUUAAGACCUCACAACACCAUCGCUACGUACUGAAGAAAAACAAAGUUACAAUACCAGACAACACUCGCCAUUCAUUUAGUAGCGACACCAAAAUAUUUACGAUAACGGACAUUAAUCGGUCAGACAUGGAUACAUACUUCAUGGAAGAACGGAAUGAGAACGGGGUUCCAGUAGCAAAUACCAGUUUUUAUUUAUCCAUUCAUGGUGUGAAGGGCUUCUGCAGCACCCCACAGCGGCCACACAUCACGACCCAGUGCUUUGGCUCUCUGGGAGGAACCGUGGAGGUCCAGCUGCCUAAGACCUCACAAGAUGAUAUCUACAAACUGAAGAAAAACAAUGUCCCGAUUGUAGAGUACAAAAAUCAGACAAACAACCUUGAUUAUUCAUUUAACAUCAGCACAGGAAUAUUUACCAUAAACGACAUCAACAGGACAGAGGAUGGUACAUAUUCAUUUGAAGCACAAAAUAGAAAUGGAUUUAAUUCAUCAAACAUACAAUUUAAUUUAUCCAUUCAAGCCCCGGUCUCCUCUCCCCUCCUGUCCCGGGAGUGUCUGUCCCGGGGACAGCAGAGGGUGUCCUGCUCUGCCGGGGGGGACGGACUCCACUACAGCUGGAGUCUAGACGGACUCCCGCUGAACGACCCGCGUCUCCUCUCCGGACCCGGUAGCGCUAGUGACGUCACUCUGGAGCCGGGCCGGUCGGGACUGCUCACCUGCUCGGUCCGCAACAACGUGAGCCACGCCGCGGCUAACAUCACCUUGUCUGUGUGUGACGGUGAGUGACAACACAACGAGGGAAAUGAAUGAAUGGAGCUUGGAUUCAGUAGCAGUUGAUUCAUCACAUGACCGGUUACCAUUUAAUUUUCAUGAAAUAAUUCGUAUGUGAUGAGAAUUAAGUCAAAUAAAAAAAUAUUAAAUAACGUAGCCUAUGUUUCAGCAUCUACACCUACAAUGUCUGCUCUCUGCAAUAGUUCAUAUUCUAUUCAAAAUUCCAUCCCUCUUAAGUAAUAGCAAUAAGAGUUAUUAUACAGUGAGAGGUGGUCUGUGUGUGAGAAUAGUGUCAAUCAGAUAACAACACUUAUCUAAUCACUUACAUAUUCAAUUGAAGCACAAAAUAGAAGUGGAAUUGAUUUAUCAAACACAAAAUUUCAUUUAGCCAUUCAAGGUGAGUAGCUUCAUCAAUAUUUCAGUAACAUUUGGUGCUUCCGCUUAUUAUUGGUAAACAAGAUUACAGAUAAGGGUUAACCUCUGACUUCAUAGCUCUUAUAGAUACACUGUUGGCUCUCAGGCUCCAUGUUAACAUGAUCGGUAACCUCACAAGUACAUCUAUGCACUCUUUAAGCAGUCGCUCUGCCCCUUUAUUAUUAAUGCUGUCAACAUUUGAUGUAAAGAGGGGGCUCUUGCUACUGCCCGAUUUGUGUAUGUCGGCAUAUAAUAUGUCAAGUACAUUAAACUAGUUAGUCUGGGAGGAGGAGCAGGUGGGUUAAAGAGGUGGAUACUUCUAAUUAUAAUUGUAUGAAGUUAAGUUUCUAUGAGUGAAUAACAGAAGGUUUCUGUUCAGUCAAACUGUGGGAAUCACCU
ensembl:lncRNA